UGAAUGCAAGGCUACUGCUAUACCACAGCAUCUGUCCUCCAGUCAGAGUAAGAGAAGAGGAACUCAUCUAAGUGUGAUGAAGGCUAUCUGAAGUUUGCCAGUCAGACAAAUGGGCAAGUUCCCUAAAGGAACCAAUUUGGAGUUUCUUAUUUACCUGUGACAUAAAUGUGGGACAGGAAAGAAACCCAUGAAUGGGGGUUUCAAGUAUCAUAGGAAUAUAUGCAACCUCUGAGUUCAGUCCCAUCUUGUUGAACACAUCUGCCAAGGGAGCCAGUCCCUAGGAACUGAAGCCAUGAGUGCUGACUCUGCCAAUACCGUAUUCUGUCUUGGCAAAAUGACAGAAAUUGCACGUGCUUGGACAUAGACCAAUUCCUCCUGGGAUGCCUCUAAAUGAAAAUGACUUCAUAUAUAUAAUUGAAAAGGAAGAUGGUGUGGAGCAAAAGAGAGAGCAGUGAACGAGGAUUCAGGUUACCUGGGGUUUAUGUUAAGCUCUCCCAUCCAUCUGGUGACUGAUGUGGGCGAACUCAGGAAUCUUGGUCUCUCUUUUCUGUUUCCAAGAUGGUGAUGAUGAUACUGGCCUCCUUCAACAAAGUCCCUUGAUACCUGCUUGCUGAAGAUGUGCAUUGUGUGAAAGUCAAAUAUUUCACCAGCUAUGCAGACAAAUGGUCAGCUCCUGCUGCAUUCGAUCCCUGCUCCCUCUAACUUGAAUUUAUUAAGUUAGAUAAAAAUACAUGACAGUAGAAGAUAAUUAGUUGCCUUCUGCAUGCAUAGAUACAUAGAUAAUCUGAAUCAGAUGGGAACAAAGAACAGAUGUUCUUUAAACAUAUGUGCAAACAAAAAAAUGCAAAUGUGAACGUUCAUAAGCAGUGAAUAUAACAGGAGAACUGAAUAACAUACGAUUUCAGGAUGUAAGCAACUAUUUUUGUGGAAUGGUUUG